GCCAAUGAUGACUGGUGAGAAAGAAGCUGAAUCUGACCUUCUUGUGUUUGGAUUGUGCUGAAAAUGCAAGAGAAACUAGGACGGUCUGAGGC